AGAUUGAACGCUGGCGGCAGGCCUAACACAUGCAAGUCGAGCGGUAGAGAGGUGCUUGCAUCUCUUGAGAGCGGCGGACGGGUGAGUAAUGCCUAGGAAUCUGCCUAGUGGUGGGGGAUAACGUUCGGAAACGGACGCUAAUACCGCAUACGUCCUACGGGAGAAAGCGGGGGACCGUUCGGGCCUCGCGCCAUUAGAUGAGCCUAGGUCGGAUUAGCUAGUUGGUGAGGUAAUGGCUCACCAAGGCGACGAUCCGUAACUGGUCUGAGAGGAUGAUCAGUCAACA
rnacentral:rRNA from 1 species